ensembl:lncRNA
GUUCUUAUAGAUCUAUGAUACUCUUCCACUGGUGAGAUCCCUGCCUCUUCCCUUUAAGAAGGCUUUUAAAAACACCUACACACUUAAAAAAUCAACAAUGACCAUGAUCAAACAAGCACAGGACAACAAGAGUCCCAGGAAAGCCAAGAGACUUUGUCGACUGCUAUCUGGAUGAGCUGGAUACGGUAUGUGAUUGUGUGGGUAUAAAAGAAGAAGCCUUUUGUUUGUCACAUAUUCAUUACAGCACAGUGAAUUUAUUUUCGUCACAUAUCCCAACAUGUUAUAAAAUGUUGCAGAUUCCAUGAAAUGCCAGCACAAUCUUUAGCAGUGGUGGCUCAAUGGUUAAGGCUCUGAGUUACUGCUCAGAAGGUUGGGGGUCUCUACUCUAGAGCUGGGACUGAUACCACCUCCAACACCCUCCUUACGGCUUUCCUCUACCUCAUGGCUUAUCCAGACAUUCAGGAGAGAUGCCAGCAGGAGAUUGAUGAGGUUCUACAGGGAAAAGCUCAUGUGUCUUUUGAGGACAGACACAACAUGCCUUACACACAGGCGGUUGAUUCAUGAGUCUCAGCGCAUCGCCAACACUGUCCCUCUGAGUGUGU